GGGGCCGUAGUUUAACGGGAGAAUGACACAAUGGCAUUGUGUAGGCGGCAGUUCGAUUCUGCUCGGCUCCA
rnacentral:tRNA from 1 species